rnacentral:rRNA from 1 species
GACGAACGCUGGCGGCGUGGAUUAGGCAUGCAAGUCGAACGGUAUCAUCCUUUCGGGGGUGAGAGAGUGGCGAACUGGUGAGUAACACGUAGGUUAUCUACCCUCAAGACGGGGACAACCCAGGGAAACUUGGGCUAAUACCGGAUGUGAGCAACUUUUAGUUGUUUGAAAGGUGGCGUAAGCUGUCGCUUGGGGAUGAGCCUGCGUCCUAUUAGUUAGUUGGUGAGGUAACGGCUCACCUAGGCAAUGAUAGGUAGGCGGCCUUAACGGGUGGUCGCCCACACUGGGAUUGAGAUACGGCCCAGACUCCUACGGGAGGCAGCAGUCGAGAAUAGUCUACAAUGGUCGGAAGACUGAUAGUGCGACGCCGCGUGAACGAUGAAUCCCUUCGGGGUGUUAAAGUUCUUUUAUAUGUGAGCAGUGCUUCUUAUAUUAACAGUAUGGGGAGAGAGAUAUUAGCAUAUGAAAUAAGCAAACGGCUAAACCUCCGUGCCAGCAGCCGACGGUAAAAAUACCG